rnacentral:rRNA from 1 species
GAAUAUUGGACAAUGGGCGAAAGCCUGAUCCAGCCAUGCCGCGUGUGUGAAGAAGGUCUUCGGAUUGUAAAGCACUUUAAGUUGGGAGGAAGGGUUGUAGAUUAAUACUCUGCAAUUUUGACGUUCCCGACAGCAUAAGCCCCGCCUAACUUCGUGCCAGCAGCCGCGGUAAUACGAAGGGUGCAAGCGUUAAUCGGGAUUACUGGGGGUAAAGCGCGCGUAGGUGGUUUGUUAAGUUGGAAGUGAAAGCCCCGGGCUCAACCUGGGAAUUGCAGUGGAUACUGGGCGACUAGAGUGUGGUAGAGGGUAGUGGAAUUCCCGGUGUAGCAGUGAAAUGCGUAGAGAUCGGGAGGAACAUCCAUGGCGAAGGCAGCUACCUGGACCAACACUGACACUGAGGCACGAAAGCGUGGGGAGCAAACAGG